rnacentral:tRNA from 1 species
GGGGCUGUAGCUCAGUUGGGAGAGCGCAUGACUGGCAGUCAUGAGGCCGUGGGUUCGACUCCCAUCAGCUCCACCA